rnacentral:rRNA from 1 species
CGAACGCUGGCGGCGUGGCUAAAACAUGCAAGUCGAACGCGAACGUUCCCUUCGGGGAAUUAUUAGAGUGGCGAAAGGGCGAGGAAUACAUGGGUAACGUACCCCGAGCACAGGGACAGCCGCGGGAAACCGCGAGUAAUACCUGAUGAGACCACAGUAACUCAAGUUACAGCGGUCAAAGGGUGGGGACUCCUUCGGGAGCCUACCGGCUUAGGAGCGACCCAUGUCCUAUCAGCUUGUUGGUGAGGUAACGGCCCACCAAGGCUAUGACGGGUACCGGGACUGAGAGGUUGGCCCGGCGCAUUGGGACUGAGACACUGCCCAGACUCCUACGGGAGGCUGCAGUAACGAAUAUUCCACAAUGGGCGAAAGCCUGAUGGAGCGACGCCGCGUGCAGGAUGAAGCUCUUCGGAGUGUAAACUGCAAUCCAGGGACUACCAAGCGAAGGGACCCAAUACGUCCCCAAGUUGAGGACUCCCAGGGAAGCCACGGCUAACUUC